rnacentral:misc_RNA from 1 species
CAUGCUCGUGCAUCGAACUGUUGAAUCGCGAUCCCUUCAUGGUAAGCACAUUUGCGCUCUGUCGCUUAUGGGCAAAGAUUGGGGUUCUUGUGUUGCAUGCCCCACAAAAGUGGAAUUCAAAUAUGUUGCUGUCCCAUUUUCGCCUGGGCCCUAUAUGUGGCAAUGCGGUGAACAACUAUAGUGGGUUCUGUGUUCCAAACAUGCUGAUUCGGCUAUUUUGGCACAUGGGUUGUUGCUCGUACCCUAGGAUGCGGAAUGAAAUAUGUGGCAAAGGGAUCCAAUCCCUUGAUCAGCCUGAUGUCCCGAAAAUAUGAACGACAGAAGCGCUUGUUUUAAGGCCUUGGCAAAAUCGCAAUGUUGGUUUUCUGGGCUUUGUGCGGGCGCCGAUGUCACGAAGGAA